rnacentral:rRNA from 1 species
AUUGAACGCUGGCGGCAGGCCUAACACAUGCAAGUCGAGCGGUAGAGAGAAGCUUGCUUCUCUUGAGAGCGGCGGACGGGUGAGUAAUGCCUAGGAAUCUGCCUGGUAGUGGGGGAUAACGUUCGGAAACGGACGCUAAUACCGCAUACGUCCUACGGGAGAAAGCAGGGGACCUUCGGGCCUUGCGCUAUCAGAUGAGCCUAGGUCGGAUUAGCUAGUUGGUGAGGUAAUGGCUCACCAAGGCGACGAUCCGUAACUGGUCUGAGAGGAUGAUCAGUCACACUGGAACUGAGACACGGUCCAGACUCCUACGGGAGGCAGCAGUGGGGAAUAUUGGACAAUGGGCGAAAGCCUGAUCCAGCCAUGCCGCGUGUGUGAAGAAGGUCUUCGGAUUGUAAAGCACUUUAAGUUGGGAGGAAGGGCAGUUACCUAAUACGUGAUUGUUUUGACGUUACCGACAGAAUAAGCACCGGCUAACUCUGUGCCAGCAGCCGCGGUAAUACAGAGGGUGCAAGCGUUAAUCGGAAUUACUGGGCGUAAAGCGCGCGUAGGUGGUUAGUUAAGUUGGAUGUGAAAUCCCCGGGCUCAACCUGGGAACUGCAUUCAAAACUGACUGACUAGAGUAUGGUAGAGGGUGGUGGAAUUUCCUGUGUAGCGGUGAAAUGCGUAGAUAUAGGAAGGAACACCAGUGGCGAAGGCGACCACCUGGACUGAUACUGACACU